rnacentral:rRNA from 1 species
UACGUAGGGACCAAGCGUUGUCCGGAAUCAUUGGGCGUAAAGCGCGCGUAGGUGGCUUCGUAAGUCCGUUGUGAAAGUCAAAGGCUCAACCUUUGAAAGCCGAUGGAUACUGCGGAGCUAGAGUACGGAAGAGGCGAGUGGAAUUCCUGGUGUAGCGGUGAAAUGCGCAGAUAUCAGGAAGAACACCCGUGGCGAAGGCGGCGUCUCUGGGACGGUACUGACGCUGAGGAGCGAAAGCGUGGGGAGCGAACAGG